rnacentral:rRNA from 1 species
CGUAGGGCGAAGCGUUGUCCGGAAUAAUUGGGCGUAAAGGGACGCGUAGGCGGCUCGGUAAGUCUGGAGUGAAAGUCCUGCUUUAAAGGUGGGAAUUGCUUUGGAUACUGUCGGGCUUGAGUGCAGGAGAGGUUAGUGGAAUUCCCAGUGUAGCGGUGAAAUGCGUAGAGAUUGGGAGGAACACCAGUGGCGAAAGGCGACUAACUGGACUGUAAACUGACGCUGAGGCGCGAAAAGUGUGGGGAGCAAACAGGAUU